GUGCACCAGGCGAGAAUCCUUCGCAAUGCGGGAAACCGCGACGAGGGGACUCCCAGUGCCUACGCUCAGCGUAGGCUGUUCCCGAGCCUAGAAAGCUCGGGGAGUAAGGGCUGGGUAAGACGGGUGCCAGCCGCCGCGGUAAUACCCGCAGCCCGAGUGGUGGCCACUAUUAUUGGGCCUAAAGCGUCCGUAGCCGGCCCGGUAAAUGCCUGGGUAAAUCGUGAGGCCUAACCUCACGAAUUCCGGGUAGACUGCCGGGCUAGGGACCGGAGGAGGGAGAGGGGUACUCCAGGGGUAGGGGUGAAAUCCUGUAAUCCCUGGAGGACCACCGGUGGCGAAGGCGCUCUCCUAGGACGGGUCCGACGGUGAGGGACGAAAGCCAGGGGAGCGAACCGGAUUAGAUACCCCUGUAGU
rnacentral:rRNA from 1 species